UACGGGGGGAGCAAGCGUUGUUCGGAUUUACUGGGCGUAAAGGGCGCGUAGGCGGCGCAACAAGUCACUUGUGAAAUCUCCGGGCUUAACCCGGAGCGGCCAAGUGAUACUGUCGUGCUAGAGUGCGGAAGGGGCUACUGGAAUUCUCGGUGUAGCGGUGAAAUGCGUAGAGAUCGAGAGGAACACCUGCGGCGAAGGCGGGUAGCUGGGCCGACACUGACGCUGAGGCGCGAAAGCCAGGGGAGCGAACGGG
rnacentral:rRNA from 1 species